rnacentral:lncRNA from 1 species
UAUAAAUUCAAAGGAUUAUUGUUAGAUAAGCAAUUAAUAAAUGUUUGGGCCAGGCAAUUCUGGACUGCAGCCAAGUGUGGGCUCCAUUGGCUUGGCUGACCUCUAGAGACCUUUUCCGUUGCACAGGCUGAAGUGCAGUGGUACUAUCACAGCUCUCUAUAGCCUCCACUUCCAGGACUCAAGCAAUUCUUCUACCUCAGCCUCCUGAGUAGCUGAGACCACAGGCACACACCACCAUGCCCAGCUAGUUUUUUGUCUUUGUUUUUUUGAGACGUUGUCUUGCUCUGUCGCCAGGCUGGAGUGCAGUGGUGCGAUCUCAGCUCACUGCAACCUCU